CCACCGGUUUAUUCUGGUACAUUAUACUCGAAAUGUCCGAACCGCCCCUUCGGAGGUUACUGUUUUCUGGUUAGGCAGAGGAGGGCAUUCUGGGGAGAGGGAAAAGGAGUGGUGAGAGAGAGUGAGGAAGGAAUAAAUACAGAAACGGGCAAGCUUCGCAUGUUACAUGUCGCCUCCUUCAAAGUUUUCAACCUUCAUGCAUACGCUUUGAAUUAAAUUUAAUUUUCUUAAUUUAAUUUGCCGUUUUUAUGAGGACAAAUCCAAAAUUAAAGAAAACAGAAAAAAGGGAUUUUCUGAUUUAAGGAAAAAGAAAAAAAAUUGGAGCUUUGUAUAUAUCUCUCUCUUCUCUCUUGGUGGAGGAAUGCUUGUCACCUACUCAUUUUUAGUUUUCCACUAUCUCUGAAAGGAAGGAAGGAAAGAAAGAAGGAAGAGCAUGUGAGCUCUUCACAGAAAGGUAUAGCUAGCUCUCUCUCUCUCUCUGUUUAUGCUCUGUUUUAAACACUCUUUGGUUUUUGGGGUGUGUUCUAUUUGUUGUGUUGGGGUUUGGGUUUGAUGGAGAAGCACAAGUGUAAGCUUUGCAUGAGGAGCUUCUCUAAUGGCAGAGCUUUAGGGGGUCAUAUGAGGUCUCACAUGAUGAACCUUCCGAUUCAUCAGAAUCCAGAAGGGGGGGAGGAGGAGGAGGAGGAAGAAGCGCCACAUGAUCAAAUGCUCAUUGAUGAAAUAGACUCGGUUUCAGCUUCUUCUUCUGAUGAUGAUGAUGAUGAAGAAGAAGAACAAGGAGAAGGGGAGGAGGAGGAAGAAGAAGAUGAAGAAGGUUUGUAUUACGGGCUUAGAGAAAAUCCAAAGAGGAGCAUUCGAUUAGUAGAUCAUGAGUUUUCUUUUGCUGUGGAUGCUGGCUCUGUUGUUCUUCAGGACAGAGAGAGUGAGACCGAGUCGUCCAAGAACCCAACUCGGAGACGGUCCAAGCGGACUCGGAAAUCGGCCAUGUUUGAUCAUCAUCAUCAUCAUGACGAUCAUCAGCAACAUCAACAUCAACUUCAUAAUCAAUACCACCAGCAUGAUCCAAAGCUUAAUCAACAUCACCUAGAAGCCUUCAAGAAAAUUAAGCUGAAAAACAAGAUAGAUUCUUGUGCUAAUAAUGUAGAGCCAGAACCGGUGAGUUCAAUUUCUGAUGCCACAACAGAGGAAGAUGUAGCCUUUUGUCUCAUGAUGUUAUCGAGAGACAAAUGGAAAAAACAAGAUAAACAACAAGAUGAUCAAGACGAGGAUGCUGAAGUUGAAUUAUAUAGAUCCUUGGACGACAGUGAUGAAUCCGAGGAACAACUGAUCAAGUUUCAAAGAACAAAAAGUAGUCGGGGAAAGUACAAGUGCGAAACUUGCAAGAAAGUCUUCAAAUCCUAUCAAGCUCUUGGCGGGCACAGAGCGAGUCACAAGAAGAUUAAAGCCGCCGCCGCUGCUGCUGCUAAUCCAAAUCCGAAUCGCAUUGUUUACGAGCCCGAACCCGACCCAAAAAUUAACCACAAUGCAGGCAGUUCUUCUUUCGCAAAAACCCAUCAAUGCCCUGUUUGUUUCAGAGUCUUCUCAUCUGGGCAAGCGCUUGGUGGACACAAGAGAUCACAUGUGACAGGUUCCGCAGCCAUUAAUAACACUCAUCAUUAUACUCCUCCUGUAAAAAGCUUGGCAAAGAUAGGGGACAAUAUGAUAGAUCUUAAUCUUCCUGCUCCUGUUGAUGAUGAUGAGAUGAGCCAAAUCGAGAUUUCUGCGGUUUCUGAUGCUGAAUUUGUGAACCCAAUUAGGCGAUGAAUUCAAGUGUUUAUUGACCCUGUUGAUGAGUUCUUCUUCGCACAUAUGAGAUAGCUUUGAAUCAGAAAAAAAGUGUAUAAUGCAGGUCAGUGCACUGAAUACUAUCUCAUCGUUUUCAAGCUUCAAUGUUGGAUUAUUGGUAUUGUUUGAUCGAGUUUUGCUAGUGUUGUAUGGAUAAUGAGUUUUCGAGGCAAGAGUAGGUUCCCGAGCAGGUCGUCGUCCGGGACUUGGAUUGGCAGUCAUGAUAUCUAUUGGGAGAAGUUGCCCGCUUUUAGUAAUAAUUAUUUUUUAAUGACGUCUAUUAUGUAACUUUUGAUCUCAUUAUUAGAACUCAUUUCUGUUUAAGAAAAAAUUAGAUAGAACUAAUUAAUAAUUAUUUAUU